CAAAAAUUUAAAAUUCAUUUUUGUGAAGUAUUUCGGCAUAAUUAGGUACACAAAUUAAUAAAUAUGUAUUAGAAUUAAUUUAUUCGAGUGUAAGCGUUCUUAGAGUUUUACAAAACAACGCACGGACAUUGAUUUAUUGAUUUCGAUGUACUGUUUUGAUUACGGUCUACGAAUAUUGAUGAGAAAAAAAAAACACUACACGUUCUGCACGUUACAAGCCAAUGACAAAUGGCAUACAUAAUUUUCGGCGUCGUUAAAUUGUCGAUAUUUAAAUAUCUAACGAGCUAACGUGACGGCUCUCCAGUCACUCGCGUUUAAAAACACAUUUUUUAUUGCAAUAAAAAAUUUCAAACAAAAAAAAAUUCCGAAAUCGGUUACACAAUUGCAUAAUAAUAAGACGAUGCCUUUUUUUUUUUUCUUCAUAAGGAGAUCAUCAUCAUUCUUAGACGUGCGCUGCAGUUAUACACCUAGACUUAUAUAUCACGUACUCGUAAACGAUAUUCUGGGAAAAAUAGGCGAUUACUAUAGUGAUAUGUACUCGUACCCAACUAUUCAGCUGUAAAUAUGAGAAUCAAAACGUAAAACAAAAAAAAAACCCCAAACAAAAGAAAAAAACCGGUAAAACCAUCAACGUCCUUAUUUUAAAAUCUAAAGAGUGUUGUACCCGUUAUACAAUAUUAUUUUUGCGUUUUUUGUCAAACCCCCGGGGUGUGCGGUAUUGUUCUAUAAUAAAACAAGGAAAAAACGUUCAGAACCGAACGCACUCGUUAAAUGAGUUUACGAAAAACUGUAUGGCGUAUGGAGAAAAAAAAAGGGCGACAUUUUCAUAAUUGGCAAUGAGCCAUUGAUAUGUGCGGUGGCGACCACAAUCCGCAAUGACGUGUUCCCCUCUCGACUCCCCGAAAAACUCUGUUAACCCCGAGGUCCUCCGUAGGUUUUUUUCAGAGGGUCGACACGUAGACGUUUGCGGAUUAUUUUUUUAUCAACGUAAACCUAAUACACUACAGUGAAGACAGUAUUGCAAAGCCGGACAUACUUUUGGCACACCACAAUGAGUUGAGGCCACUGUUGUAGGUAGGUAAUUCGGAAGAUAGGAUACAAACGGUAAUUCAGUUUGUGUAUUGAAUAUGCAACGGACAUAUCGUGGCAAAACAAACACCUGGUCUGAAUGAAGUACCAGCAAAAGAGCAAUUUUCACGCAGCUUCAAAUAAAAAAAAGAACUGAUACGGCGUCGGGUGCGGCGACUGGUGCAGGUGGACAGUGGAGAAGGUGUGAUUUAUUAUUAAGUUAUUUAAUUUAUGCCUGCAACCGACGAUAAACCAUUGAUAACGAAAAACGAUUCGGAGCGAAGUUCGGUUGUACAUGUUUUGAAAGAUCGUAAUAUUUACGAUUUUCGUCAAAAUUUGAUUUUAAAACUCGUAUAAAAACAAAAAAAAAAAAUACUUCAUUAAACUAAAUUUUUUUUUUUUUUUUGGUCCCUUGGUACGACUUAUAAUGAACAAUUUUUGCAAUUUUAAACUCUGUGUG